rnacentral:lncRNA from 1 species
UUAUUAUUAUUGUAUUGAAAUUGCUAUUUCAAUAAGUACAAUGUAUUAAAGGUAUUAUGAUAUUAAUUAUUUGUGGUAAAUAUGAUAUAUUUUCCAUUGUUUAAGUGUACUCAAGGAUGAUUUAUGUAAAGGAGCCUAUUAUACGAAGCAUCCCUUUGUCGUUUUGUUUUGUCUGGAGACGCAUGGAAGCAUUGAAACGCGUUGACGGGAGUCAAUUUUUGACAAGAAAUUGUGAUCAACUAAAAUAUUGACAGCUGUAGAGAAUUAGAUUCAUGGAUGUGUUAAAUUUGACUCUGCCCUGAUUGGAAUCUAUGUCACCAAUAAUCAUGUGGAGAUGGCAUUAUGUUGAACCUUCAACAAUAAAGGUUUUACAACAGU